GAUGAACGCUGGCGGCGUGCUUAACACAUGCAAGUCGAACGGAAAGGCUCCUGCUUGCAGGGGUACUCGAGUGGCGAACGGGUGAGUAACACGUGGGUGAUCUGCCCUGCACUUCGGGAUAAGCCUGGGAAACUGGGUCUAAUACCGGAUAGGACCACAUUUUGGAUGGUGUGGUGUAAAGUUUUUCGGUGUGGGAUGAGCUCGCGGCCUAUCAGCUUGUUGGUGGGGUAAUGGCCUACCAAGGCGUCGACGGGUAGCCGGCCUGAGAGGGUGUACGGCCACAUUGGGACUGAGAUACGGCCCAGACUCCUACGGGAGGCAGCAGUGGGGAAUAUUGCACAAUGGGCGCAAGCCUGAUGCAGCGACGCCGCGUGGGGGAUGACGGCCUUCGGGUUGUAAACUCCUUUCGCUAGGGACGAAGCGCAAGUGACGGUACCUGGAGAAGAAGCACCGGCUAACUACGUG
rnacentral:rRNA from 1 species